rnacentral:rRNA from 1 species
ACCGGCGCACGGGUGAGUAACACGUAUGCAACUACCUGUAAGAGGGGAAUAACCCGUUGAAAGACGGACUAAUACCGCAUAAUACUUUAAUACUGCAUGGUAUUCAAGUUAAACAUUUAUGGCUUACAGAUGGGCAUGCGCAUGAUUAGCUAGUUGGAGAGGUAAUGGCUCCCCAAGGCAACGAUCAUUAGGGGUUCUGAGAGGAAGGUCCCCCACACUGGUACUGAGACACGGACCAGACUCCUACGGGAGGCAGCAGUGAGGAAUAUUGGUCAAUGGGCGAGAGCCUGAACCAGCCAAGUCGCGUGCAGGAAGAAUGUCCUAUGGAUUGUAAACUGCUUUUGCAGGGGAAUAAAGUUCGGCACGUGUGCCGUUUUGUAUGUACUCUGCGAAUAAGGAUCGGCUAACUCCGUGCCAGCAGCCGCGGUAAUACGGAGGAUCCGAGCGUUAUCCGGAUUUAUUGGGUUUAAAGGGUGCGUAGGCGGGAUAAUAAGUCAGUGGUGAAAGUUUGCAGCUUAACUGUAAAAUUGCCGUUGAAACUGUUAUUCUUGAGAGUAGAUAAGGUAGGCGGAAUGUGUUGUGUAGCGGUGAAAUGCAUAGAUAUAACACAGAACCCCGAUUGCGAAGGCAGCUUACCGGGCUACAUCUGACGCUGAUGCACGAAAGCGUGGGGAUCAAACAGGAUUAGAUACCCUGGUAGUCCACGCAGUAAACGAUGAAUACUAGCUGUAUGCGAUAUACUGUAUGUGGCAAAGCGAAAGCAUUAA